rnacentral:rRNA from 1 species
AGUCUGGUGCCAGCAGCCGCGGUAAUUCCAGCUCUCAAAAUGCAUAGAAUCAUUGCUGCGGUUAAAAAGCUCGUAGUUGGAUCUGUGCUGGCGGGUCGGUCCACCUUCGGGUGCGCACUGAUUUCGCCGGCUUUCCUGCUGUAUUUGGCCCUGUGCCUUUCAACGGGUGCAGUGUCCAGUGCAGCAAGUUUACCUUGAACAAAUCAGAGUGCUUCAAACAGGCGUUUCGCUUGAAUGUUCGUGCAUGGAAUAAUAGAAGAGGAUUUCGGUUCUAUUUUAUUGGUUUUAUAGACUGAGAUAAUGGUUAACAGAGACUAACGGGGGCAUUAGUAUUGCUACGUGAGAGGUGAAAUUCUUGGACCGUAGCAAGACUGACUACAGCGAAAGCAUUUGCCAAGAAAGUCUUCAUUAAUCAAGAACGAAAGUCAGAGGUUCGAAGGCGAUCAGAUACCGCCCUAGUUCUGACCGUAAACGAUGCCAACUAGUGAUCCGCCGGUGGAACAUUCGCCCUGGUGGGGAACUUCCCGGAAACGAAAGUCUUCCGGUUCCGGGGGAAGUAUGGUUGCAAAGCUGAAACUUAAAGGAAUUGACGGAAGGGCACCACCAGGAGUGGAGCCUGCAGCUUAAUUUGACACAACACGGGAAAACUCACCCGGCCCGGACACCGUAAGGAUUGACAGAUUGAUAGCUCUUUCAUGAUUCGGUGGAUGGUGGUGCAUGGCCGUUCUUAGUUCGUGGAGCGAUUUGUCUGGUUUAUUCCGAUAACGAGCGAGACUCUGGCCUACUAAAUAGUUUACACAUUGCUUCUGUGUGCAUAACUUCUUAGAGGGAUUUUCGGUGUUCAGCCGCAAGAAAUUGAGCAAUAACAGGUCUGUGAUGCCCUUAGAUGUCCGGGGCUGCACGCGCGCUACACUGGCAAAAUCAGCGUGCUUGUCCUUCCCCGAAAGGGGUUGGUAAACUCGUGAAAAUUUGCCGUGAUUGGGAUCGGAAAUUGCAAUUAUUUUCCGUGAACGAGGAAUUCCAAGUAAGUGCGAGUCAUCAACUCGCGUUGAUUACGUCCCUGCCCUUUGUACACACCGCCCGUCGCUGCCCGGGACUGAGCCGUUUCGAGAAACUUGGAGACCGCUGAUCUGGUAACUUCGAUUGCCAUUUUGGUGGGAACCAAUUUAA